rnacentral:rRNA from 1 species
CGCUAACCGUACUGUUGGUUAUGUACGGCUAAGCAUUGAGGCAGUCUAAAUAGGCAAAUCCGUUUGGACAACGCUAGGAUGUGAUGGGGAAGCCCUCCGGGGCGAAGUAGCUGAUUUCACACCGUCAAGAAAAGCUUCUAUCGAGUUUAAAGGCGCCCGUACCGUAAACCGACACAGGUGGGUGAGGAGAGUAUCCUAAGGCCAGCGAGAGAACUAUUGUUAAGGAACUCGGCAAAAUGACCCCGUAACUUAGGGAGAAGGGGUGCCUGUCUAUGACAGGCCGCAGAGAAUAGGCCCAAGCGACUGUUUACCAAAAACACAGGUUUCUGCUAAGUCGCAAGACGAUGUAUAGGAGCUGACGCCUGCCCGGUGCUGGAAGGUUAAGGGGAUCUGUUAGAGCAAUCGAAGCAGUGAACUUAAGCCCCAGUAAACGGCGGCCGUAACGAUAACGGUCCUAAGGUAGCGAAAUUCCUUGUCGGGUAAGUUCCGACCCGCACGAAAGGCGUAACGAUUUGGGCACUGUCUCAACAAUAGACUCGGUGAAAUUGUAAUCCCGGUGAAGAUGCCGGGUACCUGCGACAGGACGGAAAGACCCCAUGGAGCUUUACUGUAGCUUGACGUUGGGUCUUGGUACUACAUGUACAGGAUAGGUGGGAGACUAUGAAGCAUGGACGCCAGUCUGUGUGGAGUCAUCCUUGGGAUACCACCCUUGUAGUACUGGGAUCCUAACCAUAGGCCUUGAAUCAGGUCUUGGAACACCGUCAGGUGGGCAGUUUGACUGGGGCGGUCGCCUCCUAAAAAGUAACGGAGGCGCUCAAAGGUUUCCUCAGCACGGUCGGAAAUCGUGCGAAGAGUGUAAAGGCAAAAGGAAGCUUGAUUGCAAGACAUACAGGUCGAGCAAGGACGAAAGUCGGACUUAGUGAUCCGGUGGUACCGCAUGGAAGGGCCAUCGCUCAACGGAUAAAAGCUACCCUGGGGAUAACAGGCUUAUCUCCCCCAAGAGUCCACAUCGACGGGGAGGUUUGGCACCUCGAUGUCGGCUCAUCACAUCCUGGGGCUGUAGUAGGUCCCAAGGGUUGGGCUGUUCGCCCAUUAAAGUGGUACGCGAGCUGGGUUCAGAACGUCGUGAGACAGUUCGGUCCCUAUCCGUCGCAGGCGUAGGAAAUUUGAGAAGACCUGUCCUUAGUACGAGAGGACCGGGAUGGACGUACCUCUGGUGUACCAGUUGUUCUGCCAAGGGCAUGGCUGGGUAGCUAUGUACGGAAUGGAUAAGCGCUGAAAGCAUCUAAGCGCGAAGCCAACUUCAAGAUAAGAUUUCCCACCGUAAGGGUAAGACCCCAGGAAGACUACCUGGUUGAUAGGUCGAAGGUGUAAGUGCAGUAAUGUAUUUAGCUUAUCGAUACUAAUAGGUCGAGGACUUGACCAU